GAGAGCGGCGUGUAAAUACUGCAGUCGAACGCACUCUGAUUUUCGUUGCUGCUUGCCCAUGAUUUAAUUUGUGUCGCCGUUCAACUGUAACGUGACACGCGGAUGACCUGAUCAGUAGCUACCCUUUGCUUCUGGAAACUAAACCUCAUAGCGGAUUAUAACUUGUACCGCAUGCUCCGAGGUUGACUUCUGACUUCGCCUAUCGCUUUUGCAGGGUCCCGCGGGGUAUUAGCUAGAUGUUGAGCUAACGGCUCACCAUGGCAAUGAUACUGAUCCGACCUGAGCGGACUCUCGCACACAUUAAACUCCUACACACGGCCCAAACUCAUACAUCUUCCACAAGGAGCGAAUCUUCCACGAUGCACGCCGCCUGAUGGAGCAACGCCUCCGGAGCGUAGAAGACUGUCGUAUCGUAAAACUCUGUUGUUAAGGAAAUGCGUGGGGGGUUAAAAAAAGCUUACCGGUUGGCGACGGCUAACCAGAAGCCCACGGCUAGCUACGUGACAGCAGCCGAAGUAAUAG
rnacentral:rRNA from 1 species